rnacentral:rRNA from 1 species
UUAUAAGAGACAGCAGCCGCCGCGGUAAUACGGAGGGUGCAAGCGUUAAUCGGAAUUACUGGGCGUAAAGCGCACGCAGGCGGUCUGACAAGUUAGAUGUGAAAUCCCCGGGCUUAACCUGGGAACUGCAUUUGAAACUGUCAGGCUGGAGUCUUGUAGAGGGGGGUAGAAUUCCAGGUGUAGCGGUGAAAUGCGUAGAGAUCUGGAGGAAUACCGGUGGCGAAGGCGGCCCCCUGGACAAAGACUGACGCUCAGGUGCGAAAGCGUGGGGAGCAAACAGGAUUAGAUACCCGAGUAGUCCCUGUCUCUUAUAA